GAUGAACGCUGGCGGCGUGCUUAACACAUGCAAGUCGAACGAGAAAUGUAGACGGAAACCUUCGGGCGGAAGCCUUCAUUUCGAGUGGCGGACGGGUGGGUAACGCGUGGGUAACCUGCCUCAUACAGGGGGAUAACAGUUGGAAACGACUGUUAAUACCGCAUAAGACCACAGCAUCGCAUGAUGCGGGGGUAAAAACUCCGGUGGUAUGAGAUGGACCCGCGUUCGAUUAGCCAGUUGGCGGGGUAACGGCCCACCAAAGCGACGAUCGAUAGCCGAUCUGAGAGGAUGACCGGCCACAUUGGGACUGAGACACGGCCCAAACUCCUACGGGAGGCAGCAGUGGGGAAUAUUGCACAAUGGGGGAAACCCUGAUGCAGCGACGCCGCGUGAGUGAAGAAGUACUUCGGUAUGUAAAGCUCUAUCAGCAGGGAAGAAAAUGACGGUACCUGAGUAAGAAGCCCCGGCUAACUACGUG
rnacentral:rRNA from 1 species